CCGCCAAGCCCGCCAAGCCCGCCGCGCCCGCGGGCCCCGCCGCUAGCAGCUCCCCGGCCCGGGCGGGCGUCGCGCGUGGGGGCAGCGGGAAGUCGGCGAAGACGGCGGGGGGCGCGGCGGCCAGCAGGUUGCUUCUUCUUCGUGAAGAUGUGCAGAGGGAAUUGCAAAUUGAGAUACAGCGCCAUUAACCAGUAAUCUCUGUGCAGAAUCCAAGACCUUUGGGUCCUGUAACCAUGAAAUUGACAUGUGGAUUUAUUUAAAUCUGGUAGAUUAUAUCAAUAGCAUCCCGUCCAGGACACGGUAUCACUCUCCUUCCAUCCCUCUUGGCUGUGGCCAGUUCUGAGAGCAUGCUUGUAUCCACCGGCCUUGGCAGACCUGAGACUCACUGCACCAAAGGCUUCACCACUCCAGACCAUCUGCUUCAGGUAGUGACACAGAGAGGGAAAGAAACCAUAAUACUGAAGCUUCCCCCCAGUGUGGGAGUGUGUGCAGUGCUCGAACCUCAGUCUCCUGCAUGGCAAAGCAGGCUCCUUCUCAGAGCACCUCUCAGCUGUGACUUAUAAUGGUGGUGCCGGGGAUUGAACCUAAAACUGAGGAGCCUCAAGGAUGAAAGUCUUCUGAAUGGCCACUGUGCUGUCUCCAUAGCAAGAAUGCAUACCUUUUUCUCCACAACAUCUCCAGCACUUGUCAUCACUUGCUUUAUUGAUGGGAGCAAUUCUCACAGUAUCUUGACAGCUCUCCAGGAAAGGCCUGGAAAACCAGACUCAAAUUGGAGGGAAUUGUGCCACUGUAUGGGUCCACACCUCAUUCUGGGCAUGGUAACUAGAAAUGAUGGAGAGAAACACCCCCUUGCUCCUCAGACCCCUUCACCGUUAAGUCAUGUGACCCUGGGAAUAGAAGCAGAACACCUUGCAGUACUUGCUGGGGCUUGCUCAAGUUUCAGAAGAGUGGAAGAGCGCUGGACAUCACAGAUGCAAAUCAGGUGCUGAGUAAGAAUAUCUCUAAAAUCUUUGGGAGUGUUAUGAAAAAAUGGAGGAGAAAUCUUUGGAUGUGUGUGCCUACCUUCUCUCCCCAACAAAACAUUAUAUUGUGCAUCCAUUGCCCAGGGCAGCUGACCUGGCACCUUUCAGUCUUGGGCUGAUCUUUUCUUUGGAAGGAACAAGCUUUAGAAAUCAGACAAGGGGACAGAAUAUUGCUCACCUGGUAGAACACACACACAUUGCCACACACUAGGGCCCAAGCUCAAGCCCCCAGCACUACAUGGGAGUGUCAUACAUGGCACCAGGGGCAGCUCCAGGAAUGGUAGAGUAAUGCUGUGGUGUCUCCUCUUAUUUUUCUCUAUGUCUCUACCUGAAGUUAAAACUGGAAAAUAGUCUGCUUGAAGCAGUGGAAUCACACAUUGACAAGGAUAAAAUGAAGAGAGAGAAAGAAAACAGAUAUGCUCAAAGUCAAUUAAGAUGUAAACAUUCAGCAUUAGUCCUGUGCCUUGCUUUGGAAUUAGAAAACUUUUGCUUUAAUAAAAUCUCUAGUCACAUUUCUUUUUGUUGAUUAAUGAAUAUUUAUGUAAUUAAAAAUUUUAAAUUAUUUUAAGUACUGAAUGUUCAAAAUAGGGAUCAGCAAAUACUACAAAACUGUUGUUUCAUUGCAAGGUGAUAAAAGUAUUUAUGGAUUUCAGAGAUUACUAGAUGUCACAAUUUAGGCUUUAUUUUAUUGGUGCAUUUUUUAUGAUAGUUUUUAUACCACAUCUUUUCUAUUUGUGAAAUGAGCAUGUAUAAAGAUACUUUGAAAGAC